ACGCUGACUGAUAAGUAAUACCUAACAUAAACAGAGAUCAAGAAAAUUUAGAGGAUUCACAUUAGAUUUGGAACUACGAGGCUUUUUCAGCUAAUUUCACUUUUAGGUACCCGAAGUUAAGCAAAUUAUUUUCACUUUGUCCUUGCAUCAAGGAAAAAGGAACGAAAAGAAAAAAACAAAGUCUAGAGGUCGGUUUUGGAAUUGAAACCUGUUUUCAUAGGCCAAGAAAUCGAGUCUCUUGAGGGAUUUUUGGCACUUGGAUGGGUAUUUGCCUCAUCAACCAAAUCAAGGCGGAGAGUCCAUUUAAUACUAGAACAGGUAUAUUCUCAAAACACAAUUACUUUCUUUAUGUAGAGUGAAAGAGAGAGAACAGUGAAAUUAUGUUUACUAGAGAGAUUGAAAUGAUAAAUUCAAAUUUUGUGAUCUUUUUGAGUUGUUUUUCUGAAACUAAGAAUUCAUGUCCUUUGCAUUUUCUGGUUUGUCAUAUCAUUUGCCUUCAAAGGUAAUAGGAUACCUGAGACUUCUAAUGCUGCAUAGUAUACUAUUUCUUCAUUGAUUUUAAUUGGUGGCAACUAAUUUCUUCUACACAUUGCAUACUACAUAUAACACGUGAAAAGAAAAUUCUACCACCAGAGGAGGUUUGUGUACUUGAAGAGGAAAUUGUUAUGCUUCGAACUCUGAAAUAUUUAAGGUUCAUUUUGAAGAUAUAAUAUGAAUAACUAUAUUUCUCCCUUUUUUAACAACUCAAAUUUUUGGACGAGUCUGUAGUUUUAAAUUAUACAAUUGUUCUAUGUUUAAUUCAAAACUGUUUCCUACUUAUGAAAAUUCUACUUUUCAACCCUUUGAUGAAAAAGUAAAUCUAGUGCGGGUGUGGUAUGCAAGUGAGGACUGUGAACCCUAUUUUUGAUGUACUUGUAUGCUUUUUGUGAAAUUCACGUGAUACUUGAAAUUGAAAGCCUUGAAUAUAUUGUAAUUGUAGUCUGUAUAAUUUGUAUUACUAUGGCUUUAGGUUUAUAGCGUGUCAUUUAGGCUUAAACAAUUUUUUCACCUUGAAGUGCCUAUUAGGGUUUGAGGCUUUGCGUUUAGCUCUUUGCGAAAUUGGAUAAAAAACUUUCUAAUCUAUUUAAAAUAGAAAUAUUCAAUUUGACCAAAGAAUUGUCUAUGUUGACUUAUAGAUUUCAAUAGUGAACUUGUGAUCUUUUGGUGAUGAUUAGGGCUUUCUCGUUGUGAAUAAAAGAAUUUGGGUCAUUUUCAAAAACCUAGGCCUUCAUUUCAAGGGGAGAAACCACAAUCUAUUUCAAGAACUACUAACGAGUAUAUUGACCAGAUCCAAAAGGGUCGUGAGUUGUAAAUCUUAUGACAGUGGAAUUCUCGAAGGUGUAACUCCACAGUUUUCGUAGAAAUUCUACUUCUCAAGUAAAUAAUGGCUUGUCCUAACUUGUUAUUGAAGAGAUUGGAAAUGUUUGAAGCCUUGUCGACUUAUAUAAUUGUAGUCUGAUCGGCUUAUAUGAUUGCUUACUGUACAAUGAACAAUUACAUAGGUGCACGUAGUAACUAUAUUCGAAACUAUAAUUGUGAGAUGAUUGAGAUAUUGUGUAAUUGUUUUUUAGGUUAAUCAUUGGAUAUUAGAUAUACACUUCUAU